GAUUGUGCCCAGCCAGACUGCGGCAAUAUAUCACCAACUUGGAACUGUAUUUAAAUUGCUGGUCCUGCCACAUUGAAGAGUUUUUGCUCUAAGGACAUCGGUGAGACUGGUCGCCUUGCUGACCAUCCCUGGACUGACUCCACCAUUCCUUGAUGUCCAGCCAUCGGCUGGAGAGAAUCACCAUACAAAGACAACGUCUAUUCCUUGGCUAAGAGAAGUUGUGUGGCAUUAGAGGUGUUGAUCAGUUUUUCACAUAUUUGUUGGUAAGAGAUCCUUCAUUUGACUAAGGGAUUCCUGGGCCUUGGGCAUGCAAGCCUGCAUCUCUUGUGCCAGUGGGUUUACACCCUAGAAACCUGAAGCCGCUGCCCCUCUGGUCACUGUCAACUGCAGCAGCCUCUAGAGAUCAACAAGGAUAUUCCUCUCCACUUAUUAUAUUCCGCUCUUACUAAACCUCAACCCAAGGAAGAGAAAGAAGAAACCGAAGGAUGAAGUGAGAAAAUAAACCGAGAGACAAAGGGAAAAGGAGCUGGGGGAGCGAGGAGUAAAGAAAAGAGGAGAAGAGAGGAGAGGGUUUGAGCCCAAGUGGGAGGGGAGCUCCCUGAGAAAAGUGGGUGCCAGUACCCAGGGUGGAGGGGGGCGGAGGGCGCCAGCUCCAUAGCGCCUGCAGACGACGGGAAACCAGAGACAGCAGGACAUUGUGUUCUCCUCUUCAAAAACAACCAGCCUCCGCUCCCAAAGUAAACAGUUAAUCCUGUUGUUUAUCUUUUUAAACAUGAGAUGUUAACAGCACGGAUUCUGCUACACAGAAAUGUGUUUUUAUUCAUUUAAAACUCAUUUUCUCUUUGCUGAAAUGUUGACAUGUAAAUUUUCUAAUAUCAGUGACCAGGAAAUACUAACAACAUUCUUCCUUUGUUGAAUGUGACUUAAAAAAAAAAAAAACAAAAACAAACAAGCACACAAACAAACAAACAAAUAAAAAGCAAAAAAGGCAGCCUAAGCUUAGGCUUUUUCUAUACUCAACAUCUUCAUUAUUUUGGAAAACUACUGCAUUGCUGAAAUUAAGAACCACCCACCUACUGCAGCUUGGUCUUAAGGGAAGGCACAAGUAAAACCACUGACAAAAUGGGCGUCAGCGUGGACUCUGAUUUUGGUUAUUACUUGAAGAUAAGAUAUUACAUACUUUAUUGGAAGUUUACCUACAGAAAAAAAUUCCGAAGAUAUUUAUCUCAUGGCUGUUUAAUAACUGAAAUUUUAAUUGGGAUAAUUAUAGAAUCACAUGCAGUUAGUUGUAAGAAAUACUACUGAGAGAUCCCAUGUACAAUCUGCCUACUUCCCCUAGUAGUGUCCUAUACGCUAGUACAACAUCAUAAUCAAGAUACUGACACCAUGCAUGCUCAGAUUUCACCAAGUUACCUGUAUGCAUGUGUAUUUGGUUUGAUAUGGUUUUAUCAUCUGUGUAGGAUCCCAUAUCUAUCACCAGGCAAGAUUCUGAACAUUUCAUAAUAAUGGUCCCUCAAGUCGUCCUUUUAUAACCUACCUCCUUCCAUCCCCAUCCUUAACAUCUAAAAACCACUAAUCAGUUCUUCUUUCUAAAAAUUUACCCUUUCAGAAGUGUUAUAAAAAUGAAAUCAUCCAGUAUAUAUAAUCUUUGGGAUUGGAUUUCACACCCCCCCUCGCACAAUUCUCUGGUUAGUAAUAUAAGCUAUUAUGCCUUUUAUUUAUGUAAUAGCUUUACUGAGAAGUUAUAUACCAUAAA